UCUGGUUGAUCCUGCCCCACCCGACUGCUAUCACAGUGAGAUUAAGCCAUGCGAGUCAACGUAGCAAUACGUGGCACACGGCUCAGUAACACGUAGUCAACAUAACCAAAGGACGUGGAUAAACUCGGGAAACUGAAGCUAAACCGCGAUAGACCAAAAUACCUGGAAUGGUUUUUGAUUAAAAUCUAUAUGGCCUUUGGAUUGGACUGCGACCGAUCAGGCUGUUGGUGAGGUAAUGGCCCACCAAACCUGUAACCGGCACGGGCUCUGAGAGGAGGACCCCGGAGAUGGGUACUGAUACAAGGACCCACCCCCUAUGGGGCGCGGCAGGCGCGAAACCUCAGCUAUAGGCGAAAGCCUGACUGGGUUAUUCUGAGUGACUUUCGCGGCCAAGUCUUUUGAUACCUUUAAAAAUGGUGCAGAAUACGGGGUGGGCAAGUCUGGUGUCUGCCGCCGCUUUAAUACCAUCACCCCAAGUGGUCAGGACGAUUAUUGUGCCUAUUGCCUGCGUAGCCUGUUUUACUAGUCCACCGUUCAAUCCUGCUGCUUACCAUAUGGCCCGCGUAGGAUUCUCUAAAACUAUGAGGCGGGUUAUCCUCUCAGAACUCAUUGGGUUUUGGUAUAUUCUGUUCAUCUAUUGCACACCACCCCUGAUCAGAUGGCUUG
rnacentral:rRNA from 1 species